UCUCCUGGAAACGGGUGGUAAUGCCGGAUGCUCCGACUCCUCGCAUGGGGUGUCGGGAAAGAUUUCAUCGGUAUGGGAUGGGGUCGCGUCCUAUCAGGUAGUCGGCGGGGUAACGGCCCACCGAGCCUACGACGGGUAGCCGGCCUGAGAGGGCGACCGGCCACAUUGGGACUGAGAUACGGCCCAGACUCCUACGGGAGGCAGCAGUGGGGAAUAUUGCACAAUGGGCGCAAGCCUGAUGCAGCGACGCCGCGUGCGGGAUGACGGCCUUCGGGUUGUAAACCGCUUUUGAUCGGGAGCAAGCCUUCGGGUGAGUGUACCUUUCGAAUAAGCACCGGCUAACUACGUGCCAGCAGCCGCGGUAAUACGUAGGGUGCAAGCGUUAUCCGGAAUUAUUGGGCGUAAAGGGCUCGUAGGCGGUUCGUCGCGUCCGGUGUGAAAGUCCAUCGCUUAACGGUGGAUCUGCGCCGGGUACGGGCGGGCUGGAGUGCGGUAGGGGAGACUGGAAUUCCCGGUGUAACGGUGGAAUGUGUAGAUAUCGGGAAGAACACCACCCC
rnacentral:rRNA from 1 species